GAAAUGCGAUAAGUAGUGUGAAUUGCAGAAUUCAGUGAAUCAUCGAAUCUUUGAACGCACAUUGCGCCCCUUGGUAUUCCAUGGGGCAUGCCUGUUCGAGCGUCAUUUGUACCCUCAAGCUAUGCUUGGUGUUGGGUGUUUGUCCUCUCCAUUGCGUUUGGACUUGCCUUAAAGCAAUUGGCAGCCAGUGUUUUGGUUUUAAGCGCAGCACAUUUUGCGUCUUACUCCCUUGAAUACUAGCAUCCAUUAAGCCUUUUUAUCACUUUUGACCUCGGAUCAGGUAGGGAUACCCGCUGAACUUAA
rnacentral:misc_RNA from 1 species